rnacentral:tRNA from 1 species
CAGGGAGACAAACUAGAUUAUGAUGUCUAAAUGAUUUAUUUUUAGGCGUUAAUCCUGUCACUUUAGGUCGAUCGGUACCCAGUUUAAUAUCUAAAACUAACAAAAUUUGUUUUAGAAGUUUAUUGAAUUCAGUUCCUAAACUUUGUCUAGGUCACACCCAACAAGGGUACUCCUGGGCCAUUAGCUCAGGUGGUUAGAGCGCACCCCUGAUAAGGGUGAGGUCCCUGGUUCAAGUCCAGGAUGGCCCAUUCGGUGUUGGGGGUAUAGCUCAGUUGGUAGAGCGCCUGCUUUGCAAGCAGGAUGUCAGCGGUUCGAGUCCGCUUACCUCCACUGAUCCACCUCUUGAUAACGAAGCCUAAGGAGAUUUUGUUUGAUGUGAUCUAGUUUUGUUCUUGAAGAAUGAACCUAGCUUCUUGUCAACAAUACUAAUCACUUUAUUUUGAUUAAGUUUGUUUGAUAGGACGCUGGGCUCAGUGCGAGUUAAAUUGCACUGUUCUUCAGUAGAACCUUGACAACUGCAUAGUGAGUCUGGAAAAAAUAAAGCAUCUCAUGGAUGCAUUAUUUUGAUAGGUAGUUUAAUUCUAAUUCUUUAGAACUUAUCUACUUUAUCACUAUAAUAAUCUUUAAUUCUUAAGCAAGAGCCGAGACUCUAUGAUUUCCUUUCAUUGGAUUAUUUACAGUGAGAGUUAGAUAUUUAAUUGGUACCUUUUUGGUUCAAUUAAAUAGAAAGUAUUUUAUGGAGAUUAAU